CCAUCUGUAUCACCAGAUUACCCUAAGGCUCUGAAUAAAGCAGCGAGCCUGACAAUGUAACGAAGUUCAGUGAACCACUGAACGGGAACAGAAUCGCGAGAAGAUGUUCCUCCUGAAAACCACAAUUUGGGUAAGUGC
rfam:Photobacterium ganghwense strain DSM 22954 contig0015, whole genome shotgun sequence.